CUCACUGAACUGGGCAGAAGUUUCUGGAAUCCUCACUGCGCCGCCGCCACUGCCACCAGUAGGACCGCCCUUUCACCCGGAAACAGUUUGCGCAUCUGCUUUUUAGCCCCACUGGAGGCUCUGGAUUAUGGUUUGUAAACGCUGUGCGUCGAGGGGAACCUAUUGGAAAAAGGUGCUGAGGUGACCUACACCCAAAUCCUGGAUUAGCAGUGAUAUUGACUUUGCAACUGUCAGCAUUCCCUGUCAUUACUUAGCCAAUUAUAGAACUCUUGCCUUAAA